rnacentral:rRNA from 1 species
CCCUUAGAUGCUCUGGGCCGCACGCGCGCUACACUGGUCAAUGCAACGAGUUUCUUUCCUUGGCCGACAGGCCUGGGCAAUCUUUGAACAUCGAUCGUGAUCGGGAUAGAUUCUUGUAAUUUUUGAUCUUAAACGAGGAAUUCCUAGUAAACGCAAGUCAUCAGCUUGCAUUGAUUACGUCCCUGCCCUUUGUACACACCGCCCGUCGCACCUACCGAUUGAAUGGUCCGGUGAAAUCUCCGGACUGGCGUGAGUCGGAGCAAUCUGACAAACACCGGAAAGUUGAUUAAACCUUACCAUUUAGAGGAAGGUGAAGUCGUAACA